rnacentral:tRNA from 1 species
UAAGUGGAAGCCAAUCCGGCACUUAUCUGUUACAUAAGCCCCUGCUGUGCUCAGCCCACUUAG